rfam:Nosema ceranae BRL01 Nc004855, whole genome shotgun sequence.
UAAUAUUUAAUAAUAUUGAUUACCCUUUUGAACUUAAGCAUAUCAUUAAAAGGAGGAAAAGAAACUAACUAGGAUUUCUUUAGUAGCGGCGAGUGAACAAGAAAUAACCCUUGAUUGUAAUCCUUAAUUGGAGAUGUAAAUCAAUUUCAUUUUUAUUUAAUUAUAUCAUAGAGAAUAUUUAUUAUUCGUUAUUAAUAAAAAUAAUAAAUAAAAUAUAUUGAGUAGGGCUGCUUGGUAAUGCAGUUUGAAUAAAGGUAGAAUGAGAUAUCUAAGGUUAAAUAUAAUGGUAUACCGAUAGCAAAUAAGUACUGCGAAGGAAUUUGUGAAAAUGUGUGUGGUUAUAGCCUUAUUUUUAAGGACCCGUCUUGAAACACGGACCAAGGAGAUUAUAAUUAUAGCGAGAUAAUAUUUUUAUUUUAGUCGUUAUUAAUUUGAUAAGUUAUAAUUAUAAGACCCGAAACACAGUGAACUAUACAUG